rnacentral:lncRNA from 1 species
GAGCAAGCACUAAUCAGCUUAGAGAAAGGAUCACUCAUUCCUCAGAAAGAAGCAGACACAGAACAAAUGCUGUCUCUUUUGCAAGGAGCUUUUGGAACAAAGGAGCAGGCAAAUUGCACCAAACAGCCUAUAGUCUUCAAAAGGGAGGAACGAUGAAGCCUUUGCUGUAUAGCUUCUUUCUGCAGGCUUUUGAAGUCUCUUAGGUGGUGUUCGCUGUAGUGGAAUGGUGCGGGUUCUACACAGGUGCUUGGAAGCUGGAAUGAAAAUUGUAGCAUAAAUAUUCAUUGCAUUUCUUAUAGUUUCUUUCCAUUGCCACACCAGUAUGCAUUUGUGUGCUAUGUAUUAAAUUCUCACUCUGGACUUUGAUACCAAUGCUCUUUUUGGUUCAGUGAAACCAGGAGUCUCCUGAAGGCAUCAAUUUCCCUGUAUUUCAAUGUCUGACCCCUAAUAUUUCUUGCAGAAACAGCUGCAAAAUGGUUAAGAAUGUCAUUUUAUAGUGUUACUGCUCUAAGGUAUGUAUAAUUUUCUAGGAGGAAAAGAAUGUUCUUUGUGCUGAACUAUAUCACACUAAUUUUUAGCCAGAGGAUACAUUCUUUUUUUAAGUUUAGCAAGAUUUUAUUUUCAUAUGAGAAGUGUCCUGGAAAACAGAUGAUUUUCCUAAGUUAUAAAAAUUGUCUUGAUAUUUUUAUAUCCUUCACCAGGUUUUACUCAGUUUUCCACAUUGUGAGGCUAUGGAAAAAUACAAUGAAAACUUUGAAGAAGGUGGAAACAUCUGAAAAAUCAUUGGCAAAUUAUUACAGAUUCCCUGCCAGCAAUUCCAGUGCUACUCUUCAAGAGAACAAACUGGAUUUAAAGCUUUUAAUGAGACAGCAAAUGGCAGAUUGUUUCCCCUCACUUUUCAUGCUGCUAAACUCUGCUGGAAGAUGCAGCAAUGGAAGUCCAGAAAAAAUGAUUCGUGCAGAGCAUGGUUACGUAUACAACAUGCACAAACUCUUUAAAGAGCAAGUGAAGACUGCAAAGUUAGGAACUGCCAGAUGA